GUAGUUCCAUGAUACUGGCUGAGUUUGCAAUAGCAGAUGGAACUUUUAACUAUUGAGGGAGUUUGCAGAUACCUCAGGAUUCGUGACAAUGCCUUUAAAGAUCCAGGAGAUGUUCAGCUACUAGGAACUGCUAGCAAGUAUAGCGCGAAUGGCUUCGAGCUCAGAAACUCUGCAGCUGAGAGUAGACACUUGUGGGAGGAAUCUGCUACAGGCUUAUCAGCUGUUUUUUUAAAAAAACGCAAGUUCUUGGCUUAAAGGAACAUCCUUGAGGACCGCCUUUAUUCUGAGCCACUAAACUUCAUUCUGACUGCCAUGCAGUUGGUUUUGAGCUGCUUUUGCAGUUUUAAUUAAUCAUUCAAUUUUGUGAAUGAAUUUUCUGAAAUAAACUGCUUUUAUGAUA